GGGUUGUUCCUUUAAGUUUUUGUUGAAAAUUGAUGUGAUAACAUGAAGAUGGUGUGAAGUGUUUCAUGGCUUAGGAAGUCACUUGGUAGUGAUUUCUGUGAAUCGUUUGUUAAUCUUUAUGUUUUACUUCUAAGCUAUGUGAUUGUUUUUUUAAACCUAUGUGGGAAUAGAACGAUGUUUUCAAAUAGUUUGUAACUAAUAAUGAUAAAUUAAUUUUUUUUCUUAAAUAUUUCUUGAAUUUCUACUAAAAGAUGCAAAAAUUUUCAAGAUAGUUAUUUUAGAAAUAAAAAUAAAAAUAAAAUAAUGACUAAAGACAAUAGUUUUAUUUUCAAGGUACAAUAUAUUUUUUUAUAUAAAUUCAUUAUUGCAGGAUGAGUUUUUAUUAUUUUAAUAUAUACUCUGAAAUAUUCUUAUAUUUUUGUAUUAAUUUAAAACCAAUUAUAAUCCAUGUGCUU
rnacentral:lncRNA from 1 species